AUGGCUUUUGAAAUAAAAAGGGAUAUUCGCUUGCAUACCUUCUUAGGCGCUUUGUUCAGUAUCUUAAUGACAAGUCAAAGUUCUGAUACUGAUAUCUUGUGUUUAAUGUCCAUUAAGAGUUCCUUGGAAGAUUCAAAUAAUUACUUAUUCUCAAGUUGGAACUUCAACAACAAAACGGAAGGUUUCAUAUGUAGGUUCAAUGGAGUUGAAUGUUGGCAUCCUGAUGAGAAUAGAGUACUAAAUCUUAAACUAUCGAACAUGGGGUUGAAGGGUCAGUUUCCACGUGGCAUUGUUAACUGCUCUUCAAUGACCGGGUGA